GCUAAUGAUAUGCUAAGAAAAAUGGUGGAGAAUGGUUAUCUGCCAAACGUCUUCACUUACAAUGCCCUUGUGCAGGGAUUUCUCAGGUGUAGAAAAAUUACUGAAAUGACAACUUUUAUGAAGGAAAUGACGGGUAGGGGGUUCUCAUUUGAUGCAACUACAACUGAGUUAUUGGUAAACGUUCUAAGGGAGAGUCCAUCCG
rnacentral:misc_RNA from 1 species